GGCUGGUUAACUCAGUUGGUCAGAGCAUGGUACUAAUAAUGCCAAGGUCAUGGGUUCAACCCCCUUAUCGGCCA